UACGUAGGGGGCAAGCGUUGUCCGGAAUCAUUGGGCGUAAAGAGCGUGUAGGCGGUCCGGUAAGUCGGCUGUGAAAGUCCAGGGCUCAACCCUGGGAUGCCGGUCGAUACUGCCGGACUAGAGUUCGGAAGAGGCGAGUGGAAUUCCCGGUGUAGCGGUGAAAUGCGCAGAUAUCGGGAGGAACACCGAUGGCGAAGGCAGGUCUCUGGGCCACUACUGACGCUGAGAAGCGAAAGCAUGGGGAGCGAACAGG
rnacentral:rRNA from 1 species